rnacentral:rRNA from 1 species
AGUGAACGCUGGCGGUAGGCCUAACACAUGCAAGUCGAACGGCAGCACAGUAAGAGCUUGCUCUUACGGGUGGCGAGUGGCGGACGGGUGAGGAAUACAUCGGAAUCUACUUUUUCGUGGGGGAUAACGUAGGGAAACUUACGCUAAUACCGCAUACGACCUACGGGUGAAAGCAGGGGAUCUUCGGACCUUGCGCGAUUGAAUGAGCCGAUGUCGGAUUAGCUAGUUGGCGGGGUAAAGGCCCACCAAGGCGACGAUCCGUAGCUGGUCUGAGAGGAUGAUCAGCCACACUGGAACGGAGACACGGUCCAGACUCCUACGGGAGGCAGCAGUGGGGAAUAUUGGACAAGGGGCGCAAGCCUGAUCCAGCCAUACCGCGUGGGUGAAGAAGGCCUUCGGGUUGUAAAGCCCUUUUGUUGGGAAAGAAAAGCAGCAGGUUAAUACCCCGCUGUUCUGACGGUACCCAAAGAAUAAGCACCGGCUAACUUCGUG